UGGGGAAUUUUGGACAAUGGGCGAAAGCCUGAUCCAGCAAUGCCGCGUGUGUGAAGAAGGCCUUCGGGUUGUAAAGCACUUUUGUCCGGAAAGAAAUCCUUGGCUCUAAUACAGUCGGGGGAUGACGGUACCGGAAGAAUAAGCACCGGCUAACUACGUGCCAGCAGCCGCGGUAAUACGUAGGGUGCAAGCGUUAAUCGGAAUUACUGGGCGUAAAGCGUGCGCAGGCGGUUUGCUAAGACCGAUGUGAAAUCCCCGGGCUCAACCUGGGAACUGCAUUGGUGACUGGCAGGCUAGAGUAUGGCAGAGGGGGGUAGAAUUCCACGUGUAGCAGUGAAAUGCGUAGAGAUGUGGAGGAAUACCGAUGGCGAAGGCAGCCCCCUGGGCCAAUACUGACGCUCAUGCACGAAAGCGUGGGGAGCAAACAGGAUUAGAUACCCUGGUAGUCCGCGCCCUAAACGAUGUCAACUAGUUGUUGGGGAUUCAUUUCCUUAGUAACGUAGCUAACGCGUGAAGUUGACCGCCUGGGGAGUACGGUCGCAAGAUUAAAACUCAAAUGAAUUG
rnacentral:rRNA from 1 species